rnacentral:rRNA from 1 species
UACGUAGGGGGCAAGCGUUGUCCGGAAUCAUUGGGCGUAAAGAGCGUGUAGGCGGCUCGAUAAGUCUGCUGUGAAAGUCCAGGGCUCAACCCUGGAAGGCCGGUGGAAACUGUCGGGCUCGAGUCCGGAAGAGGCGAGUGGAAUUCCCGGUGUAGCGGUGAAAUGCGCAGAUAUCGGGAGGAACACCAAUGGCGAAGGCAGCUCGCUGGGACGUGACUGACGCUGAGACGCGAAAGCGUGGGGAGCAAACAGG